GUUGCCAUAGCCUUCAUCAUCUAAUAACUGACGUGAUUUACUCACCAAUUUUUGUUUCUUUGUGUCUCUCGCUAGAAUGUAACAUCCUGGUGGUCGGGGAUUUUUGUCAGUUUUGUUCACUGAUGAUCCCGAAGUUCCUAGAAGAGCCCCUGGCAGAACAGUGGAUGUUCGGCAAACGCUCACUGGGCAGACGGAUGGAGGAAUGGAUGGAUGGACGGACGGACAGACGGAUGGACUGACGCCUGCCUUUGACCUCUAUUGUGUCUGUGCUACCGUUCAUACUGGCUGCAAUUUCUGAGCGUGGAAAACCUGUGUUCUUUCCCAGCCUGAGGUAAGCGCUGACUGCUCACAAGUUGGUAACUUCCUUCUUUAAAACCCACUUUGUUGUUUGACUCCUGACAUGUUUUCAUCAGAUGUUUGCGUGUUCAUUAACUCACGUAAACGUUAAUGAAAGAACUAUGGAAACAGCUUCCUACACGUUUCCUCUUGCUUUCAUUUGGGUAUAAUUACAUGAACACACAAUAUGCCAUAUAUGCCGACGGAGCGAUCUCCUUUACUGGCCUUCUAAACGACAGUUCCUCGCCCGGAAGACACUCAAAUAGCUGAUUUGUACAUUUCCCUCUCUACUCCCAAUCCGUUCUGCUUUCUGCACAAUUCAAGGGUCCUCAAGUAAGACAAAGAUAUCAAAGCCCCCUCCCCACGACAUGGCGCCCAACCAUAUCCAUUCCCACCUCAGGGCAGCCUGGGAACUCAUUCAUACCUUUGAAGGUGUUUGUGAAAUGUAAAGGGUAUUCCAAAAUGGUUAUUUCCUCCUUUGCUGCUUCCUUCUCACAACUAUUCGUAUAUUUAUAAAUACUCAGUGCUGCUGAACACAAUGGUGGUUUCUGGAUUCUCUUUGUCCUACCCAAGUCUACCAUCCCACCCCUCAAACUCUUGCUCUCUCUCCUCACCCAUAGGAAACAGCUCUGCAACAGGCUUUUGUGUCCCCAUGGUAGGAGAGGAGUUUGCAGGCGAAAGGUCACUGUGAGAGACUGGCCGGCAGGCUCUCAGUCAGUUUCAUUUUCUCCCUGGUCACGGUCGAGACUAGAUUUCCCAGACUCCCUGCAGAUGAGCCGGACACCUGGAUGCUCACAGUGAAUAUGGCAGAGCCCCGAAGAUGGGAAGAGCCCUUGUCCCGGAGUCACCACUUGGAGAAGAGCUGCCUGCCAAUCACCAGCAUGCACUUCGGACUUUGAGUGAGAACAAAGUUCUAGCAUGUGGACGUGAUUCCAUGUUUCUGGGUUGGCUUGUUACAGCCAUUGGCACUGGCUUCUCUAACUCAGUCACAGGGGGACAAAAACCCAAAUAAGCUAUCAAGGAUUAUAACUACAAUGCAUGCACAAGAUCAUACUUAGAAACUCCGAAUCACUCUGCCCUCCCCUUCAGUUAUCAAUGCAACAGACCACUCUGAAACUCAGCGGCUCCAGACAACAAUUUCUUCUCUCACAGUCUUGGUGCUUGGACUCCAGUGGGCAGUCUCCUUUGGGGCCUCUUACAUAGCGGCUGUCGGUUGGUGGUUGGGAUGGGGUCAUCUUAAGGCUUUUCUGGGCUGGACAUCCAAGGUAUCUUCUUAACUCACAAUCAAGUGCUUAGCUGGGAUGUCUGGGGAAACUGGGGCCGGCCCCACCCUUAUUCCUGUCUGUGUGGCCUCUUCACAUGGCGAACUUGGACUUCCUCACAGCACGGUGAUGUCACAGAGGUCCAGAUUUCUUCCAUGGUGAUUGUAAGAGAGAAGCCAAGAAGCCAAAAUGAAAACUAAAAAGCUUCUUCUGACCUAACUUGGGAAGUCACACAGCUUCAUGUCCCCUGCAAUCUGCUGGGUGCACAGGGCUGGCCCAUGUCCAGUCUGGGAGGGGCUGACACACAGCAUGAACACUGGGAAGCUUGGUCCAGUGGCGAGCAUCCUUCGAAAGUAGCAACCUCAGAAGCUACCAGAGACCUGUCAGCCAAAGAGAAGGGCAAGCUACACAAUCGGCAGGGCCUAGUGCAAAGUGGAAAUGCAAGAUCGCUAGUUCAAAAAGCAUGAAAAAACAUAUUUCCUUUCUUCCACAGUCUCUCUCUCUCUCAACCUGUCAUGGUGUUUUUUCAGUCUGCUAUUUAAUGGUACGCUGUCUUGGGCACAAGGAUACUCGGGCAAAUAAAGACACAGGUUCCCAGAGCCCUGUCCCUCACUUCAGCAUGAAGGGCACACUCACCCACUGUGACCGUGCCUGCCCCCACACCCAGGCACCCGCAGGGGACAGAAGAGUAGUGAUGGAUGGACAAGGCAGGGCAGGGGACAGGGGUACAGGAGGCAAGACCUUGUCCCAGGGAGGCAGGGAGGUGGGACCGCAUAUGGGCCAGGCUUCCAGCCCCCAGCACAUGCUCCAUUGUCCCAUCGAUGUUGCUCACAAAACACAACUGAAAGACAAAAUUAUUAAGAAUUUCAAGAUAGCAUCUAUAGAGCAUUCAACCCUAAGCAUGCGGCUCCCUCUGAACAUGGGGUCCCUUCUGAGCUUGGGGCCCCACCUGUGCUGGGGGCCCCAUCUGAGCUCAGGACCCCACACAACUGCACAGAUUGCUUGCCCAUGGAGUGGGCACUGCCAAGGAGUGAUGGCAGAGGAGGAGCAGGCGACUGCAAUAGCAGCACAAGUAGGACUCGUGCCAUGGGAAGAUAAAAGAUUCCUCUAGCUCCCCUAGCUGGCAAGGACCCAAAACAUGCUAGUGGAAUGAAUCAGACUUGGUCUAAAAGAAUUCUAACCAACCCUUCCAGCCAAAAGUGAGGACAACAAUUGUCUAUGCCAUGGAUUUUACAACCAUCAGGCUUAAGAGUGUCUCUACACACCUGCUGUCAAGGCAAGCUUGAGCUUGCUAAGAUGACAGUGAAAUAAUACUUUUAAAAUCCAAGACUUGAUGAAAUAAGGUAUAUGUGAAAGUGCUUGAUAAAUUCAAACAAUAUAGAAAUGUGAAUAGUUUCCUUUAAACAGAUUUCACUGCUCUAUGUUUUCUAUUUUAUCUAACAAGAAACAUAGAAAAUUCCAGUUCCAGACAAGAUGGAGUAGAUGUACUUCUCCCUAAUCCUCCUGCUAAGCAGAGCUAAAAACUCUGGACAUUAGAUAUAAAACAGACAUCAGAAGACUCUGAAAGAUGGAGAGAGGAAGGCAGACAGGCCAGCAACUGUGGGGCCUGAGGAAUGACAUGGUGGUGUUUUCUCUGGGUUUUCUUUGUGCUUCGUAUAUCCUGGACCAGAUGCUGGAGACGUGGGUACCCAGAAAUGGCAAUGGACAUGGACAAAGGACCAGGAAAGAGGCAGCCUGGCAGGAAAGGGAACUUCAGACAACGACCAUCCUAUUCUAACCAAGCACCACAGAGAAACUGUGGCCCCAACUCCACCGCCAUCAGCAAAGGGCCAGUAGAGAGCCCAGACUCCACCUUCACCUGCUGUCAUGAGGCGCCCCUGUCUCAGCCUCCCUUGACAAUAGGAUGGUGUCAGAGAAGGUGGGGUGGGGAGCAGAAGCAUUCAUCCCUGCUCGUUGGCAAGGAGUCCCCUCAACAGCGUCAGUAGAGACCACGUGGGAGCCUGACUUCCACCCCUACCCACUGGUAACCAGGCACUGCCCUCCCUCCCCACUGGGUGGUCUCAGAGAAGGCUGAGUGAGAAUCUGGGACAUUUGCCACUUCCAGAGGUAAGAGGCCUCUACCCCACGGUGUCAGCGGAGGCCACCUGGGGAGCAGUAAGGGGGCACCUCUACCCCUCUCAGCCAGGGUGGUGUCAAUGGAGCCCUGCUCUAAUAGAAGAGUUAAACAAGAUCCAGAAUCACAUAACAGAAUAUCCCAAAUGUCCAGGUUUCAAUCAAAAGUUUCACUCUCAUCAUACCAAGAAUCAGGAAAAGCUCAACUCAAAUGAGAAAAGACAAUGAACAGCUGCCAACACCUAGUUGACAGGAUGUUGGAAGUAACUAAUAAGGAUUUUACAGCAGCCAUCAAAAGACUCUUUCAACAAGCAAUACAAACAUGCUCAAAAAGAAAAUCUCAGCAAAGAAAUAGAAGAUAUAAAGAAGAACUAAAUGGAAAUUUUAGAACUGAAAAAUACAAUAGCCAAAGCAAAAAAAUUACUAGAUGGGCUCAAAAGGAAAAUGGAGAGGGGAGAGGAGAUAAUCACUGAACCUGAAGGUAGAACAGAAAUUCCCAAUCUGAACAACAGAGAGAAAGUAAAACAAAGAAGGAAAAAGGACGCAGCCUCACCGACCCGUGGGACUACAACAAAAGAUCGAACAUUCGUGUUGCCAGGGUCCUGGAAGGAAAGAGAAAGUGGGAGGGGCUGAAAAAGUCUG
ensembl:lncRNA